GCAUGCUUGCAGCUGGCCGAUUAGAGUUUGAUCAUGGCUCAGAUCGAGCGCUGACGGCAUGCUUUACACGUGCAAGUCGAACGGCAGCGUGGGAUUGGGCCUGGCGGGGAGUGGUGACCGGGUGAGUAAGGCAUCGGAACGUACCCAGUCGUGGGGGAUAACGCAUAGAAAGAUGUGAUAAUACCGCAUAUGUCGUGAGGGAGAAAGCGGGGGACAUUAGGGCCUCGUGCGAUUGGAGCGGGAGAGGUCAGUUUAGGUAGUAGGUGGGGUAAAGGGCCUCGUUGGUGAGGAUGUGUAGCGGGUCUGAGAGGAUGAUCCGCCACACUGGGAGUGAGACACGUCCCACGACUCGUACGGGAGGCAGCAGUGCGGGAAUUUUGGACAAUGGGGCCAACCGUGAUCCAGCCAUGCCGCGGGAGUGAAGAAGGCCUCCGGGUGGUAAAGCUCUUUCGGCCGGGAAGAAAUCGCGCUCUUUAAUAGAGGGUGUGGAUGACGGUACCGGCAUAAGAAGCACCGGCUAACUACGUGCCAGCAGCCGCGGUAAUAAU
rnacentral:rRNA from 1 species